rnacentral:rRNA from 1 species
UGGCCUUGACAUAGUAAGAACUUUCCAGAGAUGGAUUGGUGCCUUCGGGAACUUACAUACAGGUGCUGCAUGGCUGUCGUCAGCUCGUGUCGUGAGAUGUUGGGUUAAGUCCCGCAACGAGCGCAACCCUUUUCCUUAUUUGCCAGCGAGUAAUGUCGGGAACUUUAAGGAUACUGCCAGUGACAAACUGGAGGAAGGCGGGGACGACGUCAAGUCAUCAUGGCCCUUACGGCCAGGGCUACA